AUUGAACGCUGGCGGCAGGCCUAACACAUGCAAGUCGAGCGGAUGAAGGGAGCUUGCUCCUGGAUUCAGCGGCGGACGGGGGAGUAAUGCCUAGGAAUCUGCCUGGUAGGGGGGGAUAACGUCCGGAAACGGGCGCUAAUACCGCAUACGUCCUGAGGGAGAAAGAGGGGGAUCUUCGGACCGCACGCUAGCAGAGGAGCCUAGGUCGGAUUAGCUAGUUGGUGGGGUAAAGGCCUACCAAGGCGACGAUCCGUAACUGGUCUGAGAGGAUGAUCAGUCACACUGGAACUGAGACACGGUCCAGACUCCUACGGGAGGCAGCAGUGGGGAAUAUUGGACAAUGGGCGAAAGCCUGGUCCAGCCAUGCCGCGUGUGUGAAGAAGGUCUUCGGAUUGUAAAGCACUUUAAGUUGUGAGGAAGGGCAGUAAGUUAAUACCUUGCUGUUUUGACGUUACCAACAGAAUAAGCACCGGCUAACUUCGUG
rnacentral:rRNA from 1 species